UAGGGAAUCUUCCGCAAUGGACGAAAGUCUGACGGAGCAAUGCCGCGUGAGUGAAGAAGGUUUUCGGAUCGUAAAACUCUGUUGUUAGAGAAGAACAAGGAUGAGAGUAACUGCUCAUCCCCUGACGGUAUCUAACCAGAAAGCCACGGCUAACUACGUGCCAGCAGCCGCGGUAAUACGUAGGUGGCAAGCGUUGUCCGGAUUUAUUGGGCGUAAAGCGAGCGCAGGCGGUUCUUUAAGUCUGAUGUGAAAGCCCCCGGCUCAACCGGGGAGGGUCAUUGGAAACUGGAGAACUUGAGUGCAGAAGAGGAGAGUGGAAUUCCAUGUGUAGCGGUGAAAUGCGUAGAUAUAUGGAGGAACACCAGUGGCGAAGGCGACUCUCUGGUCUGUAACUGACGCUGAGGCUCGAAAGCGUGGGGAGCAAACA
rnacentral:rRNA from 1 species